CCUACGGGAGGCAGCAGUAGGGAAUCUUCCACAAUGGGCGAAAGCCUGAUGGAGCAACGCCGCGUGGGUGAAGAAGGUCUUCGGAUCGUAAAACCCUGUUGUUAGAGAAGAAAGUGCGUGAGAGUAACUGUUCACGUCUCGACGGUAUCUAACCAGAAAGCCACGGCUAACUACGUGCCAGCAGCCGCGGUAAUACGUAGGUGGCAAGCGUUAUCCGGAUUUAUUGGGCGUAAAGGGAACGCAGGCGGUCUUUUAAGUCUGAUGUGAAAGCCUUCGGCUUAACCGGAGUAGUGCAUUGGAAACUGGGAGACUGGAGUGCAGAAGAGGAGAGUGGAACUCCAGGUGUAGCGGUGAAAUGCGUAGAUAUAUGGAAGAACACCAGUGGCGAAAGCGGCUCUCUGGUCUGUAACUGACGCUGAGGUGCGAAAGCGUGGGUAGCAAACAGGAUUAGAUACCCUAGUAGUC
rnacentral:rRNA from 1 species